GACGAACGCUGGCGGCGUGCUUAACACAUGCAAGUCGAACGAAGUGGCGAACGGGUGAGUAACGCGUAAUCAACCUGCCCUUCAGAGGGGGAUAACAGUUGGAAACGACUGCUAAUACCGCAUACUGAAGGAGGGGAUUGCGUCUGAUUAGCUAGUUGGGGGGGUAACGGCCCACCAAGGCGAUGAUCAGUAGGCGGUCUGAGGGGAUGAACGGCCACAAUGGGACGGGGACACGGCCCAGACUCCUACGGGAGGCAGCAGUGGGGAAUCUUGCGAAAUGGAGGAAAGUCGGACUGAGCAACGCCGCGGGAGUGAUGACGGCCUUCGGGUUUUAAAGCUCUGUUAAGCGGGACGCGGUACCGGAAUAGAAAGCCACGGCUAACUACGUGCCAGCCGCCGCGGUAAUUC
rnacentral:rRNA from 1 species